UUUGGUAGCGCUUAUGAAGACUGGCGCGCCGUGGAAAUUUUCGUUCCCUGCUGCACAAUUUCGGGUUCUUUUCGCAUCUCUUUCUUUUCUCUUCAGAACGAACCUCCGGCUACACUCCUUUUCUCCCGGCGGCGAACCCCGACUACAUUCCGUGGAAACGGAGAGGAAAAGGAGAGUAACAGGGUUUCCGUGCGGUUGUUUUACGUCGGGAGUGGAGAGGUACGAAGAGAGCGUUCUAUUCAGUCAAACUAGGGUUUUACGUUGGAGUGCUUCUGGGUCUACGACGGGUGUUGGGGAAGUUUGGGUGCUUGGUUGAAGUUUCCGCUCAUUCAGUGAUUUGGUCCGCCGCAGGUGCACUUCAAAGAUAGCACUGCUCACUUUUUGGAGGUUCUGUCUCACUGGGCAAGCAUCUUCAGCACAUUUGUACCCUGGUUUUGACAUCGUUUUCUGAAGUGUGAAGAAAUUGCUCAGGUGCCUUAGUUCUUUGGAAAUUUUUUACUUCCAACUGCUUGCAAUAUGGUAAUAAGUUUUUGUAGUCUGAAAUUGUGUUGGUGGAUAUGAUAGAUCUCUCUUAUGGUUUACAAGUUGACUAACCAUACAUGAACAAGUAGUGAGGUUCAUCUUAAGCAGUGCAGCUUACAUGUCAAUUUUGUGAUUAUUGCAAAAUGGACUGCAAUAAAGAGGAAGCUACCAGAGCAAAGGAAAUUGCUGAAAGCAAGAUGCUCGGCAGGGAUUUUGUGGUUGCAAAAAAACUUCUGCUUAAAGCUUUGCAACUUUACCCAGAAAUUGAGAAUGCAUCUCACAUGCUUACUGUUUGUGAGGUCCAUUGCUCUGCUGGAAACUUAGUAAAUGGUCAGACAGACCAUUAUGGAGUUCUUCAGGUAGAGGCAUCAGCUGACGAAGCAUUGAUCAAGAAGCAAUACCGCAGGCUCGCUCUUCUGCUUCAUCCGGACAAGAACAAAUUUGCCGGUGCAGAAGCUGCCUUUAAGUUUGUUGGCGAAGCAUAUAAGGUAUUGUCCAAUCAAGCUGACCGCCAAGUUUAUGAUGCAAAGAGAAGAGUACAAAUGAGGGCUUCAUGGCAUUCCUCUCAGAAUUCUAGAAAUGCUAGAAGGUAUACAGCUGCUACAGUUAAUGUUUCAAAUAGUCAAUUUAGUGGACUAAGACCUCAGGAUCAGCAGCUACCAUCUAUGUUCUAUGCUUCACAAUGUUUUUGGACCAUGUGUGUUUUCUGUAAUAACAGAUUCCAAUAUGCUCGCCCUUGGUUGAAUAGAGAGGUCCAAUGUCACAAAUGCUUCAAGAAAUUUUAUGCAUUUGAAGUGAGUCCUGAAAACAUUCCACCUCCUGGUUCAAGUUCUGGGUUCACACGGAGCCACACUGGUACACAUGAGAUGCCUGUUCCAGGUCAGCGCUCUUAUAAUCAUGGGAGCCAAACUCGUGCAUCACAACCUGCAAAACCUGCUGCUACCAAACCUCAACAUGGAUCUGGAAACAAGGAAGAAAGGCCUGAGCCUUGCGGGGAUGGUAUGGAUAGUAAUCAGCAGAAGUCUGAAAAUUCUAAACCGGAGAAUAAGCCAUCAGGUAAUGCUCGCCGGAUGAGGAGGAAUAGGAGGGUUGUAGUAAACUCUACUGACUCAGAAUCUGCUGAAAGUGAUUCUACUGAAAAUAAUUCCGCGGAUAGUAUUUCAGAGGUAGAACCAACUGUGCUUGAUGGUGGACCAACAAACAGCAGGUAUCCAAGAAGGUCAACACGGUCUAAAACAAAUGUCACUUAUAGAGAAGCCGAAAGCGAAGAUGAGGAUUCUGUGCCCCCUCGUAAAAGAAUAAGAAAAGUUGGUUCAUUUGGCAGUAAAAACCAGGACAUCUCAUCUCCUGUAGUACCGAAUGGUGUGAAGGUGAAAAAAAGUGAGAUUCCUAUUUCUGAAGAUGGGAUUAAGCCGGAGCAGAAAGACGAGAAUCCUUGUAAAGAUAAUUUACAAAGGGUGAGUGUUCAAGAUAGAGUAAUGGAGGAAACAGUUCAUAAGAAAGAUGAAAAACAAGUUAAAAAAAGUUCAAAUUCAACUUCUGCUGUUCCGUCAAGAUCCAGAAAGCAGCAAGCUUCUUCUUCCUUCUCUUACCCCGACCCAGAAUUUUUUGACUUCGAUGAAGAGAGGAAUAAAAGUAGAUUUGCUGAGAAUCAGGUUUGGGCUGUUUAUGAUGAUGACGACGGAAUGCCUCGGUAUUAUGCUCUGAUUCAGAAACCUUUUGUUUCAAGCUUCAGGCUGCAGUACAUCUGGUUAGAGAACAAUCCAACGAGUGCAGCAGAGAAAGCUUGGGUUGCAGCUGGACUUCCAAUUUCUUGUGGUAAUUUUACUCAAGGAAAGGCCUGUAGUACAAAAAGCCAACAAAUGUUCUCACAUCUUGUUUUUUCAGAGGAUAUUAGAAAAGAUAGUUACAGUUUCUACCCAAAGAAGGGGGAGGUUUGGGCCCUUUUCAAAGACUGGGAUAUAGGAUGGAGCUCUGCUGUAAACAAGUCCAGAAAUUAUGAAUAUGAAAUUGUUCAAGUUGUUUCAGAUUUUUCAUAUGGCAAAGACAUCACUGUCUGCAAUUUGUUCAAAGUGAAAGGAUUUCUAUACGUGUUUGCGCCGGUUCAUGAUAAACAAAACACCGUGAUACCAGGCGGGCAAUUGCUCAAAUUCUCUCAUUGUAUACCUCAUUACAGUCUCCGCGAAGAAGGAGAAGGAAUUCCAAGAGAUUCUUUUGAGCUCGAUCCAGCUGCUUUACCGGAGAGCCUGCUGAAGGUCACAGACACGGUUAGUGCUAAUUCUGUUGAUGAUAAACUCGCAGGCUGUGCAGUUAAUAGUAGGAUCAGAGGCCAUUUUAGUGUUAAUUCCGAAGAUAUACUCCAUAAAUCAGAUGACGCAACAGAACAGCACCCUGUGGAUCCAGAGAAACCUUGCAAUCCUGACAGGAGAAAUGAAACUACAGGUUCUUGUAGCUUAGGUGUAGAAAGUAAUGAAGAUGAUGAAGAAGACUCCAGCUUUAAUGGAGAAGAGCGAAAAAAUUCAGAAUUUCAUAAUCUGAGAUCAGAGGACAAGUUUGCGAAAGGUCAGAUUUGGGCACUUUAUAGUGAAAUAGUUGAGUUUCCUAACUACUAUGCUUGGAUAAAAAAAGUUGAAUGGGAAGAGGCCGGCUUUGUUAUUAUUAAGUGGCUUGAACACUCACCAGAGACACAAUACGAGAAAUUGUGGUCAAAAAAUGGCCUUCCUUUCGGCUGCGGAACAUUCAAAGUUUCGUUGGGCACCGAACGGUUCUAUACGACCGAUGCGUUCUCUCAUGUGGUUCACGCGAAAUCGAUCAAGAAAAACGAUUUGUAUGAGAUAUAUCCAAGCAGUGGUGAGGUUUGGGCUUUAUAUAAGAAUUGGAGCCUUAUGUUGACUUCCAAAGAUAUAGGAAAUGCUGCUGAUUACUCGCUUGUGGAGAUCAUCCAACGGAAUGAAUCUGUAAUAAGAGCAGCGAGCUUGACUAAAGUCGAAGGUUACGAGAAUUUUUUUACUGCUGAAACCGGCGGCUUGGCCGAUGUCAAGAUACCGAUAAAAGAAUGGCUGAGAUUCUCUCAUCUGAUACCGGCAUUUCGACGAACUAUCAAGGAAUCUGGGAAGCAGAAGGAGUGUUGGGAGCUCGAUCCCGACUCAAUUCCAAAGAUAUUGUUGAGUUAGGAACCCCUCUUGAGUUUUAUUUUACACUGUGCACUACUCACUAGCAGGGAAGAGGCGCAGGGCUGGAGAAUGAAGAAGAUGACCAGGGUGACAAGCUUUCUGGCACCUUCUGCACCAGUUUUGAAUCUGGAAGCAGCUGCCUGGCCUUUUUGCCUUGAUAUUAUGAUGCAGCUUUCAGAUUUAACAAAAUGUUGAAAUUAAGAGCUAUUAGUCAUCUAUGUAGCUUUCUUUUUCCUUUUUGGGGGAGGUUUGAUGAUUUGGCACUCAUGCCUUCCAAGUAUUUUCCAUGUAUAUUAUUAUUAAAUACUCCAAACAUAACUCUCUACUGCUCCUUUGCUUUUUUUUUUUAAGA